AGAGUUUGAUCCUGGCUCAGGAUGAACGCUGGCGGCGUGCUUAACACAUGCAAGUCGAGCGAAGCACAUAAGUUUGAUUCUUCGGAUGAAGACUUUUGUGACUGAGCGGCGGACGGGUGAGUAACGCGUGGGUAACCUGCCUCAUACAGGGGGAUAACAGUUAGAAAUGGCUGCUAAUACCGCAUAAGACCACAGUACUGCAUGGUACAGUGGUAAAAACUCCGGUGGUAUGAGAUGGACCCGCGUCUGAUUAGGUAGUUGGUGGGGUAACGGCCUACCAAGCCAACGAUCAGUAGCCGACCUGAGAGGGUGACCGGCCACAUUGGGACUGAGACACGGCCCAAACUCCUACGGGAGGCAGCAGUGGGGAAUAUUGCACAAUGGGGGAAACCCUGAUGCAGCGACGCCGCGUGAGCGAAGAAGUAUUUCGGUAUGUAAAGCUCUAUCAGCAGGGAAGAAAAUGACGGUACCUGACUAAGAAGCACCGGCUAAAUACGUGCCAGCAGCCGCGGUAAUACGUAUGGUGCAAGCGUUAUCCGGAUUUACUGGGUGUAAAGGGAGCGUAGACGGCUGUGUAAGUCUGAAGUGAAAGCCCGGGGCUCAACCCCGGGACUGCUUUGGAAACUAUGCAGCUAGAGUGUCGGAGAGGUAAGUGGAAUUCCCAGUGUAGCGGUGAAAUGCGUAGAUAUUGGGAGGAACACCAGUGGCGAAGGCGGCUUACUGGACGAUGACUGACGUUGAGGCUCGAAAGCGUGGGGAGCAAACAGGAUUAGAUACCCUGGUAGUCCACGCCGUAAA
rnacentral:rRNA from 1 species